rnacentral:misc_RNA from 1 species
UCCGAGUUGACCCCGGCAGUCUCCCGUGAGUCCCCAACCCUCCAAAGAGGUUGCUGGCAACACAGGACAAGGGUUGCGCUCGUUGCGGGACUUAACCCAACAUCUCACGACACGAGCUGACGACAGCCAUGCACCACCUGUACACCGACCCAAAAGGCACACCCAUCUCUGAGCGCUUCCGGCAUAUGUCAAGCCUUGGUAAGGUGGGGAUGACGUACGAGAGUACGUCC